AACGCUGGCGGCGUGCUUAACACAUGCAAGUCGAACGGAAAGGCCCUGCUUUUGUGGGGUGCUCGAGUGGCGAACGGGUGAGUAACACGUGAGUAACCUGCCCUUGACUUUGGGAUAACUUCAGGAAACUGGGGCUAAUACCGGAUAGGAGCUCCUGCUGCAUGGUGGGGGUUGGAAAGUUUCGGCGGUUGGGGAUGGACUCGCGGCUUAUCAGCUUGUUGGUGGGGUAGUGGCUUACCAAGGCUUUGACGGGUAGCCGGCCUGAGAGGGUGACCGGCCACAUUGGGACUGAGAUACGGCCCAGACUCCUACGGGAGGCAGCAGUGGGGAAUAUUGCACAAUGGGCGGAAGCCUGAUGCAGCAACGCCGCGUGCGGGAUGACGGCCUUCGGGUUGUAAACCGCUUUCGCCUGUGACGAAGCGUGAGUGACGGUAAUGGGUAAAGAAGCACCGGCUAACUACGUGCCAGCAGCCGCGGUGAUACGUAGGGUGCGAGCGUUGUCCGGAUUUAUUGGGCGUAAAGGGUUCGUAGGUGGUUGAUCGCGUCGGAAGUGUAAUCUUGGGGCUUAACCCUGAGCGUGCUUUCGAUACGGGUUGACUUGAGGAAGGUAGGGGAGAAUGGAAUUCCUGGUGGAGCGGUGGAAUGCGCAGAUAUCAGGAGGAACACCAGUGGCGAAGGCGGUUCUCUGGGCCUUUCCUGACGCUGAGGAGCGAAAGCGUGGGGAGCGAACAGGCUUAGAUACCCUGGUAGUCCACGCUGUAAACGGUGGGUACUAGGUGUGGGGUCCAUUCCACGGGUUCCGUGCCGUAGCUAACGCUUUAAGUACCCCGCCUGGGGAGUACGGCCGCAAGGCUAAAACUCAAAGGAAUUGACGGGGCCCCGCACAAGCGGCGGAGCAUGCGGAUUAAUUCGAUGCAACGCGUAGAACCUUACCUGGGUUUGACAUGGAUCGGGAGUGCUCAGAGAUGGGUGUGCCUCUUUUGGGGUCGGUUCACAGGUGGUGCAUGGCUGUCGUCAGCUCGUGUCGUGAGAUGUUGGGUUAAGUCCCGCAACGAGCGCAACCCUUGUUCACUGUUGCCAGCACGUUAUGGUGGGGACUCAGUGGAGACCGCCGGGGUCAACUCGGAGGAAGGUGGGGAUGACGUCAAGUCAUCAUGCCCCUUAUGUCCAGGGCUUCACGCAUGCUACAAUGGCUGGUACAGAGAGUGGCGAGCCUGUGAGGGUGAGCGAAUCUCGGAAAGCCGGUCUCAGUUCGGAUUGGGGUCUGCAACUCGACCUCAUGAAGUCGGAGUCGCUAGUAAUCGCAGAUCAGCAACGCUGCGGUGAAUACGUUCCCGGGGCUUGUACACACCGCCCGUCAAGUCAUGAAAGUUGGUAACACCCGAAGCCGGUGGCCUAACCGUUGUGGGGGAGCCGUCGAAGGUGGGACUGGUGAUUAGG
rnacentral:rRNA from 1 species